rnacentral:rRNA from 1 species
GUCACGCUGUAAACGAUGUCGAUUUGGAGUUUGUUGCCUAGAGUGAUGGGCUCCGAAGCUAACGCGAUAAAUCGACCGCUGGGGAGUACGGCCGCAAGGUUAAAACUCAAAUGAAUUGACGGGGGCCCGCACAAGCGGUGGAGCAUGUGGUUUAAUUCGAUGCAACGCGAAGAACCUUACCUGGUCUUGACAUCCAUAGAAUUCUGCAGAGAUGUGGGAGUGCCUUCGGGAACUAUGAGACAGGUGCUGCAUGGCUGUCGUCAGCUCGUGUUGUGAAAUGUUGGGUUAAGUCCCGCAACGAGCGCAACCCUUAUUCUUUGUUGCCAGCGAUUUGGUCGGGAACUCAAAGGAGACUGCCGUUGAUAAAGCGGAGGAAGGUGGGGACGACGUCAAGUCAUCAUGGCCCUUACGACCAGGGCUACACACGUGCUACAAUGGCGUAUACAAAGGGAAGCGAAGGUGCGAGCUGGAGCGGAUCUCAUAAAGUACGUCUAAGUUCGGAUUGGAGUCUGCAACUCGACUCCAUGAAGUCGGAAUCGCUAGUAAUCGUAGAUCAGAAUGCUACGGUGAAUACGUUCCCGGGCCUUGUACACACCGCCCGUCACACCAAGGGAGUGGGUUGCACCAGAAGUAGAUAGCUUAACCGCGAGGGGGGCGUUUACCACGGUGUGAUUCAUGACUGGGGUGAAGUCGUAACAAGGUAACCA